rnacentral:rRNA from 1 species
AUUGAACGCUGGCGGCAGGCUUAACACAUGCAAGUCGAGCGAGCGGCGGACGGGUGAGUAAUGUCUGGGAAACGGCCUGAUGGAGGGGGAUAACGACUGGAAACGGUAGCUAAUACCGCAUAGCAUCAGAGGUGCCCAGAUGGGAUUAGCUAGGAGGUGGGGGUAUGGCUCACCUAGGCGACUCUCCAUAGCUGGUCUGAGAGGAUGACGGGCACCACUGGACCUACGACCCGGUCCAGAAUCCAAAGGGAGGCAGCAGUGGGGAAUAUUGCACAAUGGACUCAAGCCUGAUGCAGCAAUGCCCCGUGUGUGAAGAAGGCCUUCGGGUUUUACAGCACAUUCAGCGAGGAGGCGUUACUCGCAGAAGAAGCACCGGCUAACUCCGUGCCAGCAGCCGCGGUAAUAC